UUUUAUAGUUACACAAAGUUAUUUAUUAUACUUUAUUAAAAUAAGUAAAGCUAAACAUAUCAGCAGGUAAAAAGGUCAAAACCAUGCAUUUGAAGACAAAAGCUGAAUAACUUUAACUUUUGCAAAUACUUGCAAAACAACAAAAUAUGUUAUUGUACAUCCACAAUAGUAUAUGUGUAUAUAUGGAAAUAAAGAAUGAAAGUAAUGAGACAUGGUAUGAAUAAAAACCAAGUUUAAAAUAAGGCUUAAAGGUGGUAAAGGUUAUAGGAAGUUAAAGAAAUUUGGGAAUGACAUGCAGAUACUUCAACUACUUUUGCAAUACUUUACUUCCAAGCUGCAAUAUGUACACUGAUGGUUAUGUUAUGAAAUAUUUCACUAAAACUACACCAGCCCACCUAAAAGGGUUCACUAAAAUUCAGUCAAUAGGCUUGGAUUUAAAAAAGUAAGCUAUACUGAGCUUCCUGUGGCUCUGAAUUGGAGACCAAACUCACAUGGGCUAAAGGUUCUAGGUAGUCCUCUAGCUUUGUACACACACUUAAUGUGGUUUCCAGUCUCUGCACCUAGGAAGAGGGGCAGAUGCAGCCUCAAGGACAACCUAUAUCCCACUGCUUCUGGCUGGUCCCAAUGUAUGUUCUGGUAAGAGGGUGGUCCAUCCUGAGCUCCCCUAAGGGUAGGUCCAUUAGGCAGAAAAUGCAGAGGCAACAGUAUAGUUGGAGGGCAGACUAAUCAAGGACAGGAGAUGCUCAUGACAGAAAGGGCCAUGGGGUAACACUCUUUCCCCAAAAGUGGACUCAGAGACUGAAAAGGUUAUUCAAUUUAUUUGUGCUUUAAAAAAAUCUUCAUACUCUACAGUUACUAUUUGUAUAGAAUUCUGUUUACAGUUACAUUUCUAUUUAAAAAUUUGGGAUCAGAACAAAAUAUGACUAAUUUUUUAAAAACAUGACUUUCAGGAUAAUACUGUAUCUAGAAGAAAAUUUCUAUUCAUUAUUUCCUAAAUUGACACAUUUCCUUUAAUACAAUCUUCAGAUAUAAUAAAGUCUAGAUAUUUGUUAAUGUCUUCACAUUCAAAAUAUCUGUUAUGACUUUAACUCAGUAUGAAUUAUCUUGCUUAGUAAAAUGACAUUUCUUGAUAUAGACUCAACUACAUUUGCUGCAUUCUUUGAAUACCUUCCCUAUUAUUUAUUUAAUAUACAAUGAGUAAAACUUGUACAUAAAGUUGUCAAAAGAAACAGAAUGUUGACAGUUUUCUCUAAAUGUGGUUUAUCUUAUUUUUAUUAAUGGUCAUUCUCUGGAAGAACAUUUUCAUAUAUCCAUGUGAGUCAUUAGAUUAUUUCCUAUGGAAGUUCUUUGUUUAAUAAAUUCCAAAUUAUAGCAAAAUAUUUCCCCAUAUUCUCUACAUGGAUCAGUAGUGUUUCUUCUACAUGUAUUCAGUUACUUUGUAGUUGUCUCUUACAGCAGAUUUUCAAACAUUCAUUACAUUAUUAGGAAUUUCCCCUAUGCU
rnacentral:lncRNA from 1 species